CUUUUUCUUUUUCUCCCUCCCUUCCCCUCUUCUUUCUCACGCAGACACCCCCCAUUUUACCCUUUGCUGUUCACGUGCCCUAGCAAACGCCUCAACUCCAGCUACCAGCCACGAAUCCCGCUGCACGCCAAACACCCUCCAUCUCCCGCAUCUCUCUCUCUCUCGACAACCCUCGCCUUCGCACCGUUCGUCUCUCCCAACUGCAUCGUCCCUUCGCUCGCGUCGAAUCUCGCCAAUUGGUCAAGUCGCGUCGCUUCCCGAUCGACGCCUCAAACCCAGCCACACGUCCAUCCGAAGUAGUGUGCCACUCGUCCUUGUGCGCCACCGCGUCUCCCCAAGGUCGUUUGUGUCGGAUCUAAGGAUUCGACUGCACCUCUAGUAGCUGCCCGAAACCGCGAGCACGCCGCCACCCAACGCUGUUUGGUUGAGGCCGAGCCGCUCGUCCAAGACCUCUGCCACUGCUCACUGUCGCUUCUCCGUCUGGCCAGUUGUCGGUUCGAACUUUUCCGUGCACCGCCUAUCCCUUACCGCCGUUGUGGUUGCUGUCAGAUCUAUUUUGGAAGCAAGAUUCAGAAGAUUGUGGGACGUUGCUCAUCGAGGAAGAGAUCGAUUUUCGACUGAAAUUGUUGGCCUUUUGGUUUGAGUUUUGGAAUUUAUUUUGGGGUCAACCCAGGAUUUUGGGUGGAUUCAAAGCCUUCCAAGAUAUGUAAGAAGGUUAAUUACUUGGAUUAAUUUGUGACCAAAUUUGAGAUAAAGGUAGAGAUGCACCAGCGAGGACAAGCAAAAUUCGUGAUCGAGCCACUGGAACUAGUU